rnacentral:tRNA from 1 species
GGGCUUGUGGUGAAAUUGGUAGACGCGCUAGAUUUAGAAUCUAGUACCCGUAACGGGUGUGUGGGUUCGAAUCCCACCAAGCCCACCA